GCCUUUGUGGUGUAGUGGUCAGCACGCUCGACGCGUAUUCGAGAAGUCCGUGGUUCGAGCCCCCGCGAGGGCA
rnacentral:tRNA from 1 species